GACACAACGAGAUUAUUGAAGAUACACUGUAAAAAAAUGGUGUUAAAUUUGCCACCAUUUUAACACCGUGCCUAGUCCCAAGAAGUCUACUCCGUUUAUAGAAUUAAUAAACAGUGUCAAAACGCGCGAUGUUAAAAAAGCUGCAUAUCUAGUUUCACCAAUUAGUUUGACUAUGUGCAAGAGGUCACACAGCGUGUUUAUCAAUUUGCAAUCGCGGAACCCAAGCAGUGGUCUUGUAGUGUUCCACAGGUGACCGCAGACAAUCG